rnacentral:rRNA from 1 species
UUGAUCUCAAAUCAGGUAGGACUACCCGCUGAACUUAAGCAUAUCAAUAAGCGGAGGAAAAGAAACUAACAAGGAUUCCCCUAGUAACUGCGAGUGAAGCGGGAUGAGCUCAAAUUUAAAAUCUGGCGUGCCUCUGGUCGUCCGAGUUGUAGUCUGGAGAAGCGUUUUCCGUGUUGGACCGUGUAUAAGUCUCUUGGAACAGGGCGUCAUAGAGGGUGAGAAUCCCGUCUUUGACACGGACUACCAAUGCUUUGUGAUGCGCUCUCAAAGAGUCGAGUUGUUUGGGAAUGCAGCUCAAAAUGGGUGGUAAA